ACCGAAAUUUAGACUAAUAGUAGACUGCUGAAAUUUAAACGAUAUUACUGUCAACUGGACAAAAUUGACGAUACCCCGAAUAUAAAAUGGAAAGAUGUGAAUAUUACAUACACAUACUACACAAAAAAAAACGAGUGAAGAUCAAUUUGAUAUGAGCAUGAUAAUUUUGAAAGACGCAUGCAAGAAGAAACAGCUAGUAAUGCAGAUGCAACAGUGAACGUUUUCCAACCAGUGAAAUUAGGCCGCUUAUGGCUUUUAUAUUUCAAACUCAAGCUCUUUGGCUUUAAGGUCCGAUCUUAGUUGCCAGCAAAGUUAAACGAAGCACAAUCAAUUGCGCCUUUUGCGUUUCAAAUUUCCACCAAACUGCAUCGGUCAGCAAAAUUGAAUUUCACAAUGAGAUCCGACAGUUUCAUCUUAAGCUUUUAAUCUAAACAUGUUUUAAAGUUCUAAAGUUAAAAAAGAAAAGCGCCUGGUUCAUUGGAUCAGAUUAGAAAAUGAGGCUUCAGUCGUAUUUUGUCCGACACUGCUUUCGGUUCGCAAUUAUAAAAACUACCUUGUAUUAAUUGUGUAUUUAGAAUAAAUGUUUACGACUUUUAAAAUACAUAUUUUUUAA